UCUCCGCGCUCGCUCAGUUUCUGCCUGGAAGUUGCCGCGGGGGAAAAGAGCUAUGAUGGUGGCGCCAUCUGGUGUGAUGCCUUGCAACUAAGUGGCCACCUGUCGUCGAUCUCUGCAACUGCUGGGUGCAAACUACCAACAUGGCGGACGCUGGUCACUCGGGUGUUGCGGAGCGGCUUCUUCGCCGCGGCAUCGUUGAUUUUCGAAUAAAUUGUUUCUCUCCA